rnacentral:rRNA from 1 species
GACGAACGCUGGCGGCGUGCCUAAUACAUGCAAGUAGAACGCUGAAGGAGGAGCUUGCUUCUCUGGAUGAGUUGCGAACGGGUGAGUAACGCGUAGGUAACCUGCCUGGUAGCGGGGGAUAACUAUUGGAAACGAUAGCUAAUACCGCAUAAUAUUGACUAUUGCAUGAUAGUCAGUUGAAAGGUGCAACUGCACCACUACCAGAUGGACCUGCGUUGUAUUAGCUAGUUGGUGGGGUAACGGCUCACCAAGGCGACGAUACAUAGCCGACCUGAGAGGGUGAUCGGCCACACUGGGACUGAGACACGGCCCAGACUCCUACGGGAGGCAGCAGUAGGGAAUCUUCGGCAAUGGACGGAAGUCUGACCGAGCAACGCCGCGGGAGUGAAGAAGGGUUUCGGAUCGUAAAGCUCUGUUGUAAGAGAAGAACGAGUGUGAGAGUGGAAAGCUCACACUGUGACGGUAUCUUACCAGAAAGGGACGGCUAACUACGUG